ACUAGCAUAUCAAUAAGCGGAGGAAAAGAACCAACAGGGAUUGCCUCAGUAACGGCGAGUGAAGCGGCAACAGCUCAAAUUUGAAAUCCGGCCCCGACGGGGUCCGAGUUGUAAUUUGUAGAGGAGGCUUCGGGCGGUAGCGCGGGUCCAAGUCCUUUGGAACAGGGCGUCGAGGAGGGUGAGAACCCCGUGCGUGGCCCGCGAUCUACCCCCGGUGAAACCCCUUCGACGAGUCGAGUUGUUUGGGAAUGCAGCUCAAAACGGGUGGUAAAUUCCAUCUAAAGCUAAAUACCGGCCGGAGACCGAUAGCGCACAAGUAGAGUGAUCGAAAGAUGAAAAGCACUUUGGAAAGAGAGUCAAACAGCACGUGAAAUUGUUGAAAGGGAAGCGCUUGCGACCAGACCUGCCCGCGGACGAUCAGCCCCCGUUUUCGGGGGUGCACUCGCCCGCGACCAGGCCAGCAUCGAUCCGGGCGGCCGGAUAAAGGCCGGGGGAACGUAGCUCCCCUCCAGGGGAGCCUUACAGCCCUCGGCGCCAUACGGCCAGCCUGGAUCGAGGACCGCGCUCCGGCGAGGAUGCUGGCGUAAUGGUCGUCAGCGGCCCGUCUUGAAACACGGACCAAGGAGUCUAACGUCUAUGCGAGUGUUUGGGCGUCAAACCCACACGCGGAAUGAAAGUGAACGGAGGUGAGAACCCCCCCGGGGGGCGCAUCAUCGACCGAUCCAGAUGUCUUCGGAUGGAUUCGAGUACGAGCAUAGCCGUGGGAACCCGAAAGACUGGUGAACUAUACUUGAAUAGGGUGAAGCCAGAGGAAACUCUGGUGGAGGCUCGCAGCGGUUCUGACGUGCAAAUCGAUCGUCGAAUUUGGGUAUAGGGGCGAAAGACCAAUCGAACCGUCUAGUAGCUGGUUCUGCCGAGUUUUCCCC
rnacentral:rRNA from 1 species